rnacentral:misc_RNA from 1 species
UCUCCGUAGGUGAACCUGCGGAGGGAUCAUUACCGAGCUCAUGCCCUUACGGGUAGAUCUCCCACCCUGUGUUAUUAUUACCUUUGUUGCUUUGGCGGGCCGCCAGGCUCCGCUCAGGCUAUCGGCUUCGGCUGGUAAGGGCCCGCCAGAGGACCGUAUAUCCUGAUUAUUAGUGUAGUGUGAGUACUAUAUAAUAGUUAAAACUUUCAACAACGGAUCUCUUGGUUCUG